UGGGGGGCCUACGGGAGGCAGCAGUGGGGAAUUUUGGACAAUGGGCGCAAGCCUGAUCCAGCAAUGCCGCGUGAGUGAAGAAGGCCUUCGGGUUGUAAAGCUCUUUUGUCAGGGAAGAAACGGCUCAGGCUAAUAUCCUGGGCUAAUGACGGUACCUGAAGAAUAAGCACCGGCUAACUACGUGCCAGCAGCCGCGGUAAUACGUAGGGUGCAAGCGUUAAUCGGAAUUACUGGGCGUAAAGCGUGCGCAGGCGGUUUUGUAAGUCUGACGUGAAAGCCCCGGGCUCAACCUGGGAAUUGCGUUGGAGACUGCAAGGCUUGAAUCUGGCAGAGGGGGGUAGAAUUCCACGUGUAGCAGUGAAAUGCGUAGAGAUGUGGAGGAACACCGAUGGCGAAGGCAGCCCCCUGGGUCAAGAUUGACGCUCAUGCACGAAAGCGUGGGGAGCAAACAGGAUUAGAUACCCUGGUAGUCCACGCCCUAAACGAUGUCUACUAGUUGUCGGGUUUUAAUUAACUUGGUAACGCAGCUAACGCGUGAAGUAGACCGCCUCUA
rnacentral:rRNA from 1 species